rnacentral:rRNA from 1 species
AGCGAACGCUAGCGGCGGGCCUAACACAUGCAAGUCGAGCGGAGGGAGCAAUCCUUCAGCGGCGGACGGGUGAGUAACGCGUAGGUAAUGUACCUUCUGGUGGGGAAUAACCGUGGGAAACCAUGGCUAAUACCGCAUAUCGUCCUUACGGAUGAAAGCCUUCGGGCGCCAGAAGAGCAGCCUGCGUCCCAUUAUUUAGUCCUAGUUGGUGAGGUAACGGCUCACCAAGGGUACGAUGGGUAGCUGGUCUGAGAGGAUGAUCAGCCACACUGGAACUGAGACACGGUCCAGACUCCUACGGGAGGCAGCAGUGGGGAAUAUUGCGCAAUGGGCGAAAGCCUGACGCAGCCACGCCGCGUGAGUGAUGAAGGCCUCGGUUGUAAG